UAUUUUUAUUGAGCCUGUCUCUCAAUAAAUUUUAAGAAUUUUUUUUAAAAUUUGUAGUAAACUUCUUCCUAUCAUUGCAGAACCUUCAUUAUCUACAAUCACAAAAAAUCUCUCAACAGGUUGGAGAUCAUGGAAGUAAUACUACCAACCAUUAAGCCAUUACAUGGGGAGCUCUACAACAAUAAUGAUAGGCCUCUUUUCCAAUGAAGUUUUUUCAAUGCAUUCAUGGACUAAACUCAUAUGAAUGAUACACAAAGAUGGAAAGCAGAACAUUUCUAUUCAGGUAUUUCUAGACAAAGGCAGCUUUACUCAUUACUGGCAUCAAUAUCUGACAAAGCAGCAAAGUCAUGUGGGAAAGUAUCUUCAAUGACAAUGUUUUAUGAUACUGUCCAAGUGAAACUCCAUUAUUUUUACUCUUAAACGUUUCUUGUGUUAUUUCCUUAAGAUAUCUCUAAUUAGUUACAAAUGGCUACAUGCUGUACAUCAAAUGGCUGAUUCAUACACAAGGUCUA